UUAAUUUUUAUAUAUUUAAUUUUACUUAAUAUAUCUAAGGUAUUACCUUAUUUUAAUAUGUAAUCAUUAUCUUAAAUUUGUUCAUGAAAUACAUUUUAUUUCUACUAAAUCUUCGAACUCCAGUAUUGUGAACUUAGCUUCGACUCACUGCAUUUGAAAGACUCAGUGAACAAGUGACUGAGGCUACCAUUAGACAGAAAUAGUAAAGAAAUAGUGUUUUCUAAAUGAGUCAUUACCAGAACCUGAAAGACAUUCAGAGCACAGGCCAUUAAGGAGACUCUUAAGAUUAACCAAAUUACUGGUUUUUAUUAAUGAGCCACAGGUUACUUAAUCCAAGUGAUAGCAUUAAAUUUUGAUUGUAUAUAUUUAAA